GGUUCUCCAAUAUAUCGUCAGUUUUGUCAUCAAAGAGGCCGGAGCUGUUGAAGGGAAUCGCGAUGGCGAAGAGAAGCAGCUCAAAGAGGAGACCUCAUGCAGUGGCAGUACAAAAGAACUGAGAGACCACAAAGAAGAAUCCUAUUUAUCCUGAGGUUACAGCAUAUUCCCAAAAUAAAGCCUUAUGAUUGAUAACUUAAAUAAAUGCAACUGAACUGAAUCGCAAGUUGGACACACCAAAAAAAACAGACUAAGAAAUCUG